UUUCUCCGCGCUACGCGCGGAUAAUAUAUUUAAAUUUAUUACAUUUAUCAUUUUUAUUUGUAUGUGAAUUCUUGUAUAUUAAAUUAUAUAUAACUAAUUUUAAAUUUGAUUUUUUUAUAUUUUAAGUUUGAAGUAAGUAUUUCUAUUAUAUGUAACACAAUUAACUAAUAAAAUAUGAAGAAUCAAGUCCGAGAUUUUAGAGUUACGUAAAAAAUAUAUAAUUAUGUGUAGAACAUAAAUUACCGUAGUUUAAAAGAUCGAAAUCUCAUUUCAAAUAAAUUCACAAAAAGAAAAAGUACUUCAAUAACCUACUUAAAAUAUACAACCCCUUUUCAAAAAAACGUACUUAAUAAUAUUUUUUACGUGUAAUAGUUAAAAACUGAAAUAUGAAUAUCGAUCUAGAAUAUUAUUUUAAUAUAUCUAAUGGUAAAAUAUUAAUUGUAAUAAACAAAUUUUGAUAAAUCCUAAACACUAAACCUUAAACCCUAAACCCUUUGAUAAAUCCUAAACCCUUAGGUAAAAUAUAAAAAAUAAAUAAAAAAAUAGUAGCUGCUGUAAGAAAAGAAUUUUUUAAUGUUGUUAAAGCCGUUCAUACUAAACUCUAAACCCUAAACCCUAAACCCUAAACUCUAAACCCUUGGGUAAAUCCUAAACCCAUGGAUAAACUCAUAACCGUUGGAAUAUCUCUUUACCCAAGGGUUUAGGAUUUAUCCAAGGGUUUAGGGUUUCAUGUUUAGGGUUUAGGAUUUAGUGUUUAGUAUGAACAGCUUUAACAAUAUUAAAAAAAUCAUCUUUUAUUGUUAUUAUUCGUUUUUUAUGUAUUUUAUAUCCUUUUAUUUAAAAAAAAUAAAUUCUAAAAAUUUUGUUUCCUUUUUUGAAAAAAUUUGUAUAUAAAAUAACCAAUUUUCAUUGGUUGGUGAACCUAUAGAUUCACCUAGAGGGUGAACCCAAGAAUUUCUCUUAUUCUUUUCAGUCAUCUUUCUUCACUUGUUUUCCUUAAAAUGUUGACCAUCUCAUCUUGAUCUACUAUAUUUUUAAAGUGUUUAUUCUAUAUUAUAAAUGCUAGAGUUUGAAAACAAUAAAUCCCAUCAAACUAAUAAAUCUGUUUGAUUUUUUUGCAAUAACAACCGUUCAUGUUUUAAGAUAUUAGUUUGUUUCUGGGUAGAAAUAAGUAGGGAAAUCAUAUAGUUAAUUUUUGUUUGUUUGUUUUGGAAGUGAUUCCAUGUAGGGAGGUGCAUAAACACUUGAAAUAAAUAGAUACAGAUACCAGAUCAUAACCAAAGUUUAUGUAAAAAUUCUGUCUUAAACCUCUUUAUCAUAAAAUCAGAAAAGUAACGCCGUAGAAACCUAUAACACACAUGUUAAAAUUUUGAAAACAAAGCUCCAGGAACUCGUAUGUGAUAGCACGGUGACGUCUAAAUAAAAGUCCACUUCGAGAAGACGGAUGUGAUGCACUUGUAAAACUGGUCACAGUCACGAUUCGAAAUGCCUAGCUUGUUGGGAGGAAGAAAAAUAUGAUUAAAAUUCUUGAAAUCAUUAUUGGCAAAUUAGUCAAGGGCUAGAUAGUGUAUAGGCAAUAAUUCAGAACUGAAAGUUUGUAGGGCAUUAAUUUCUAUCCUUGGAGAGGCAUGGACGUCUUCAUUUUUUCCGCAAACUCCAUCAGUUAUCGUGUGGAGUUGGCAAUCGCUGACAGCACAGUUGAAGGUGCAUUCGUGUGUUUUGAUGGUGUGAUGACUAAGCUGCAUAACCUCCGAGCAAGUGAAGCCGGUCAGUGUUGGCUGAGGAAGGAGUAAAUCCUGAGGACUCUUAGGUGCCGCUGUUUAUCACAGACAUGGAAGGAAAAACAUUCACCUUCCAGGUCAGAGUUAGCACGUUUAACUUCACUGCACACCAUUAGACCUCACCAUCACCCGCAUCCUUAAGGAGCAUGAGCGUGUUCCAGUUCCUGACUUUGUCGUUAAGGGGAGAAACGAUGGUGAUGAUGCUGACAUGGCAGAUGGUGGUCCGGUUCCUGUUCGUGUUGAAACUGGAGAAGGCAGUAGUGAUGCAGAUAAGAAUACUGAUGCGAAACCAGGCGAUGCUUCGGCGAAGAAGAGGACCCACUCAUCUACCAAGAUGGCCAAGAAAGUGGAUACCAGCAGUUAUGGUUUCAUGUUCCAAGUUUAAAUACUUCUUAUUUAUCUGCAGUACUUUCGCAACUUUGAUUAUCUUUGUUUCAGUCAAUAAUAAAAAAACUAUUUCAAUUUAUUCCCUCUUAUAUAGUUUUUUCAAUUCUUUUAACUGAAAUAAAAGUGGAAAAUCCAUUAGAAUUGUGAUCGGAUCAGAUUGGGCAGGGUUUGAGUAAACUCCAUUCAUGCUACUCCUUUGCGUUUUUGGCUUUUGACGUUGAAAUCAUAACAAUACUAAAAGGAAACUUUUUGUCAUCCUAUAACUAACUUUUGAGUAAUGAUAUAAUAGAAUAUUUAAAUAAUUAGUUACUAUACAGACUUUCAGUAUUAUUCGAGUUAUCAUCUUACGUGACAUUCCAACCGAAAUACUCUGAUUUACUAAUUCCUAAUAUUUAGUUUUUUUUUUACUAUAUGUUUCGGUUUAGAUACAAAUGACUACGGAACAAGUAAAUUCAUUCACAAUCUUCCUAAGAUUAAGAAAAAUAAAGUUAUAAUUAUAUAACUAAAUUGGAAUUGUUGAUUUAUUAAAAUUUUAGUUGUUUUGUAACUAUUCAAAUUUCAAGAUUAAUUGGGAGACUAACGUAUGAAUAAUUCCACCCGGGUUUAAUUUUUAGAUUUUAUUUUAAAAUUAUUUUAAUACACAGGAGGAAUACAAGAAAAUGUUAGUAAGGAAUUUAUAAAAUACAAUCGAAUCGGAUCAGUUUGGGCACGGUUUGAGUAAACUACAUUCAUGCUACUCCUUUGAAUUCACUGCGCAACGUUAAUCAGGAUCAUGGCUUGGUGAUUGUCGAAGUGGAGAUUAUGACCGGACCAGAAGUUUUUUUUUUGUUUUUUUGAUAAAAAUGACCGGACCAGAAGUUGGUGAACGAAUAUUACUCCCUAGGAUACAGCUAAGCCCAACUGACAGCAUACAUCCUUUUAACUUCGUAGACGGCAAUACCCAAUCCGACUUAGCUAUGCCAUGACAAUAAAUAAAAGUCAAGGCCAAAGCCUAAAGCAAGUCAGCUUUAUAUCUUCCCCGGCCUGUAUUUACCCAUGGACAGUUUUAUGUUACCAUGUCUCGAUUGACAACACCAGAAGGCUUAAAAUAUUAGACGAAAGCUCCUAUAAAGACGGUGAGAAGCUGACUUGAGCAGGUCUUCUGUGUUUGAAGCUUCUUUGAGAGCCACUCUGGCUAGACUAAACUCCAGCUUGUCUAUUUCACUAUUUGGCACAAAUCUGGAUCAGAACCUGUCACAUUUGACAAGUGAACAAACAGCUGGAGAUUUGUCUAUGGCUGGAUGAGCUUCCCUGGAUGUGGCAGCUAUUCGGUUGGUUGAUGUUCCGGAGAAGGCUCGCAAACUCCUAAACCUGUUGGAACAGUCAAAAGAUCCAAGGUUCCACGUACUGCCUUUGGAAUCUCAGAGAGUAGCUGCGUCUGCGGACACAGUGAACAAACUUGUAUAUGACAUCCUCAUAUCAAAAGUCAGGCAAAGACUCGGGGAAGUAUCUUGCCUACCAAUCUGGUCUUCUGUGCAGGAACAAACUGUGUUUGCUCUACCAAACUUCAGCUCAUACCCUCAGGCUUACGUUACAAGCGUUGGAUAAUAUCUCCUGACUUUACCUCAGCAGCUUGAGCCUCUAGCUGAAGGAAUCUCAACCAAUGGUGAUUCAAACAACGAGGACGCACAGUUCUUUGCUACCGAGUGGAUGUUCAAGGUAGCAGAAGGCGCAACGGCUCUGUACAUGGAGCAACUGAGAGGAAUCCAAUACAUUUCAGACCGAGGAGCACAGCAACUGUGUGUAGAUAUAGAGUACUUGAGCAAUGUGCUUGCAGCCUUGUCCAUGCCGAUUCCGCCUGUGCUUGCAACUUUCCAGACGUGUUUGGCUACACCAAGAGAUGAGCUCAAAGAUGUGAUGAAAUCAGACGCUGGUAGUGAACUUGAUUUCCCUACGGCUAAUCUUGUUUGUAAGAUGCGUCGUAUCAGUUUCGAUUAGUCUCUGAACUCUCAAAAACAUGCUUUUGUGCCCUACGAAGAGGACCUGCUAACUAAUUUGUUCGGCUGGCCAUUGUCAUAUUUGUAUUACACAUUUCCAAGUUUUGAUGCUAUCAUAGGACAAGUUUCUUUGUUUUCUUAA